rnacentral:hammerhead_ribozyme from 1 species
GCACUGCUGAAGAGUUCCACAAUAGGACGAAACGACCUUCCAGUNN